rnacentral:lncRNA from 12 species
AAAUGUGUAACAGUUAGGCUACUUCACCUAGAAUAAUUGCCUUUUAAAUUCUGUUUUAUAAAAAUUCACUCUUGCUAAUUAGUUGACCUUUAUGAAUAAAAUAUGCAUGUUUUUAUUCAACAAGUGCUGGGGUGAUGUAGGUGUUUGCUGUAGAGUGUUUCUCUAUUCCCUGAAAGUAUAAUUACUUUUCCCACACUGUAAGUCUGGUCUUGAUUCCUGCCAUGUGAGGAGGAGAAAUUUAUGUAUCUAUGUAAUUUCUUCUCAGUCAUGGAAGAAGGGAGUAAACCUUUGUUUAAGAUAUUAAAAAUAUAAAAAAGCCAUUGAAUACUUCACAUGAAGAGUCACUUAUUAAAAAUAAAGAUAUGUGGCCUCUUUUUAUCUUUCCCUGAGAAAAUCCUUUUUUAACCUCAAGGCUAAGACAGAAUAUAGCUUCCUCCCUGAGAGAGGGGCUGAAGGAGAUAACAUUUAUUCACCUUUUUCUAAUCCAGAAGCCAAGUCUUCCCCUGAAUUCCUGUAAUAUUUAGUUCCAGCCUUCUUAAACUGUCAUUGAAUGCCCUUUUGGAUUAUAGCUACAUAAAUUUCAAUUAGCUAUUACUGCAUAACAAACUUCUAAUGCUCAAUGGCUUAAGAUCAUAAAAAUUUAUUCUCUUUCCUAAGACGAGGGGUCAGCUGGGUUGUUCUGGUCUUAUCUGGGCUUGCAAAUGUGUUUGUGAUCGGCUGGAGAUUGGGAAGGGAAGAGGCUGUGCUCUUCUUUGCUGGGAUCUCGCGUGUCUGGGACUCUGCAGACUUUAGUUGGUCCAGGAGAGCCUUGGCUGGGACAACUGGGAUGUCUUCCAUGUGGUCUCUUAUGAUUCAACAAGGUUAGCCCAGGACUGUUCACAUGAUAGCGGGGCAGGUUCUGAGAGAAAGUCAAAGUCUACAAAUCCCCCUGAGGCUUAGGUUUGGAACUGGCACAUCAUCGCUUCUGCUAUAUCUAAUUACUUAAGCAAAUCACAAGGUAGACCAGGUGCAAGGAGUGAGAAACUGCCACUACUUCUUGAAGGAAGGCAUUGCGAAACCACAUCAUGGAGAAUAUGGUUCAGAGGAUGGUGAAGAAUUAAAGGCUUUUUGCAACGAAAGCAUCACAUAUGUGUUAAAGAAGAAAAGACACAAGACUUACAGUGACAAAGGGAAAAUCAGUUCAGGAUGCACAAAAGAAAAAAGGAAACUCCUCAGUGCUGAGAAAGGAGAUGUGGAAUGUCGGGAAUUGUUUAUAAAAUUAGCACACAUUGCUCCCAUGA